rnacentral:rRNA from 1 species
AAUCAACGCUGGCGGCGUGCCUCAGACAUGCAAGUCGAACGAUUAAAGCUCUCUUCGGAGAGUGUAUAGAGUGGCGCACGGGUGAGUAACACGUAAGUAAUCUACCUUUGAGUGGGGAAUAACAGUCGGAAACGGCUGCUAAUACCGCAUAACGCAGCGGCACCGCAAGGUGACAGUUGUUAAAGGAGCAAUCCGCUUAAAGAGGAGCUUGCGGCAGAUUAGCUUGUUGGUAAGGUAACGGCUUACCAGGGCUACGAUCUGUAUCCGGUCUAAGAGGACGGUCGGACACACUGACACUGAAUAACGGGUCAGACUCCUACGGGAGGCAGCAGUCGGGAAUUUUGGGCAAUGGGCGAAAGCCUGACCCAGCAACGCCGCGUGAAGGAUGAAGUAUUUCGGUAUGUAAACUUCGAAAGAAUAGGAAGAAUAAAUGACGGUACUAUUUAUAAGCUCCGGCUAACUACGUGCCAGCCGCCGCCGUAAC